rnacentral:rRNA from 1 species
GUGAAACCGGUGAGGUGGAAACGGAUAGAGUCGGCGUAUCUUGCAAGUAUUCAUUUACAUUUUUAUCGUAUUGUAAUUUCUGAGCUCCAGAUUGGGACAGUUUUUACUUUAUUAURAAAUUGWGAUGCAUUUGCUUGUUUGGUGCGUAGGGAUGUUUGAGAUAGAUUUGUGACCGCCGUUUUGAGGCCAGCUUGCUGGUACCCAAACGGUGUUAGCAUUUUUUAUCUUGGAUAUUURAGUAUGGCUUACGGGCGUUUAUUGGUUCGAACUGAGUGUAAGUUACGGUCGCAUGCGACACGUGCUUUUCAAUUAGUUCGGUCCAGUUAAUGCUCUCAUACUCUUUCCCUAUGUAAAAGCCGGUCAUCUAUCCGACCCGUCUUGAAACACGGACCAAGGAGUUUAUCGUGUNCGCAAGUUUUUGGGUGUUUAAAACCUAAAAGCGCAAUGAAAGUAAAUGUUCUCUUUCGAGACUGAUGUGCGAUAUUUUUUUUCGAAAAAAUUGCAGCAUGGCCCCAUUCUAUCUGUUUACAGAAGGGUGGCGGAAGA